AUGAACGCUAGCUACAGGCUUAACACAUGCAAGUCGAGGGGCAUCAGGAAGAAAGCUUGCUUUCUUUGCUGGCGACCGGCGCACGGGUGAGUAACACGUAUCCAACCUGCCCUUUACUCGGGGAUAGCCUUUCGAAAGAAAGAUUAAUACCCGAUGGCAUAAUGAUUCCGCAUGGUUUCAUUAUUAAAGGAUUCCGGUAAAGGAUGGGGAUGCGUUCCAUUAGGUUGUUGGUGAGGUAACGGCUCACCAAGCCUUCGAUGGAUAGGGGUUCUGAGAGGAAGGUCCCCCACAUUGGAACUGAGACACGGUCCAAACUCCUACGGGAGGCAGCAGUGAGGAAUAUUGGUCAAUGGGCGCUAGCCUGAACCAGCCAAGUAGCGUGAAGGAUGAAGGCUCUAUGGGUCGUAAACUUCUUUUAUAUAAGAAUAAAGUGCAGUAUGUAUACUGUUUUGUAUGUAUUAUAUGAAUAAGGAUCGGCUAACUCCGUGCCAGCAGCCGCGGUAAUACGGAGGAUCCGAGCGUUAUCCGGAUUUAUUGGGUUUAAAGGGAGCGUAGGUGGACUGGUAAGUCAGUUGUGAAAGUUUGCGGCUCAACCGUAAAAUUGCAGUUGAUACUGUCAGUCUUGAGUACAGUAGAGGUGGGCGGAAUUCGUGGUGUAGCGGUGAAAUGCUUAGAUAUCACGAAGAACUCCGAUUGCGAAGGCAGCUCACUGGACUGCAACUGACACUGAUGCUCGAAAGUGUGGGUAUCAAACAGGAUUAGAUACCCUGGUAGUCCACACAGUAAACGAUGAAUACUCGCUGUUUGCGAUAUACAGUAAGCGGCCAAGCGAAAGCAUUAAGUAUUCCACCUGGGGAGUACGCCGGCAACGGUGAAACUCAAAGGAAUUGACGGGGGCCCGCACAAGCGGAGGAACAUGUGGUUUAAUUCGAUGAUACGCGAGGAACCUUACCCGGGCUUAAAUUGCAGAUGAAUUACGGUGAAAGCCGUAAGCCGCAAGGCAUCUGUGAAGGUGCUGCAUGGUUGUCGUCAGCUCGUGCCGUGAGGUGUCGGCUUAAGUGCCAUAACGAGCGCAACCCUUAUCUUUAGUUACUAACAGGUUAUGCUGAGGACUCUAGAGAGACUGCCGUCGUAAGAUGUGAGGAAGGUGGGGAUGACGUCAAAUCAGCACGGCCCUUACGUCCGGGGCUACACACGUGUUACAAUGGGGGGUACAGAAGGCAGCUAGCGGGUGACCGUAUGCUAAUCCCAAAAGCCUCUCUCAGUUCGGAUCGAAGUCUGCAACCCGACUUCGUGAAGCUGGAUUCGCUAGUAAUCGCGCAUCAGCCACGGCGCGGUGAAUACGUUCCCGGGCCUUGUACACACCGCCCGUCAAGCCAUGGGAGCCGGGGGUACCUGAAGUACGUAACCGCAAGGAUCGUCCUAGGGUAAAACUGGUGACUGGGGCU
rnacentral:rRNA from 1 species